rnacentral:misc_RNA from 1 species
AAGUCGUAACAAGGUUUCCGUGAGGUGAACUUGCGGAAGGAUCCAAUUACUGAGGUUAGGGUUUCUUUCGAGCCCGAUCUCCAACCCCUAUGUUUAAACUACCUUUGUUGCUUUUGGGCAGGGCCCCGUUUCUUAACGGGGACCCGCCGGAGGUGUUUAGUCACCUCUGGCCCGUGCCUGCCAGUGCCUACACAAAUUCUUUUUACAAUUUUGUCUAAGUAUUAAAUAUAAAUUUAAUCAAAA